rnacentral:lncRNA from 1 species
CUAGUUAUAUUAUUGUGCUUAAAGUUUUAAUAGUUGCUUCGUAGCGACCCCAAAUUCCGGUUCUUUCUUCAAAACUGGAAUUUUGUGUUACUUAUUCAAUACAUCUUAUUACAUCACAAGAAUAAACAUACAUCCUUACAAAACUUAUGCGAAAUUUUACAUUCUACUCCCAAGUACGAAGACCUUAACUAAUACAUCAUUUAAUAUUACCGUACAGUAUUACAACAAUACUAUUUGUUAAAAUUAAUACACAAAUCUUUUAGCUUUAACUUCUUCUUUCCUUCGACGAUACCGGAUUCUUCGGUCUUUUUUGGCUUAGCUGCAAUUUUAUUAGAAUUUGCAAAAGUAAACAUUUAAUUGUCCAACAAGUUAUAGCAGUUGAAUAAACAACAAAAUCAAGAAUCAAUUUAGUAUUAUUUUAAAUCUUCAAUAACCAAACAAUAGUUAUGAAGCAACUUGAAUAAAUAGAAAUUAAAUUGAAUUCUUAUCAUUUAAUACCAACUUCAUCAUAUAUAUGAUCAUAACACCUAAGACCAUUAUUUCCUCAAAUUUACUAAUAACAAUAUUCUCUCGAAACACUUCUAGGACUCAACUUGUAACACCCCCUUCCCGAAAAGGAAAGGGAGGUCACGUACAAAGCACAACAAACCUCAAAAUAAAUAAACAGAGCACUAAUAACUUCAAAAUAUUAAUAACGAUAUCCAUCAAUGAAGUACUAAAUAUAAUUCUCCAACUAGAAUCAAAAUAAUCAAAAAAAAA